rnacentral:rRNA from 1 species
CCUACGGGGUGCAGCAGUGGGGACUAUUGGGCAAUGGGCGCAAGCCUGACCCAGCAACGCCGCGUGCAGGAAGAAGGCCCUCGGUUUGUAAACUUCUUUUGUCAGGGACGAAACAAAUGACGAUACCUGACGAAUAAGCCACGGCUAACUACGUGCCAGCCGCCGCGGUAAUACGUAGGUGGCAAGCGUUAUCCGGAUUUACUGGGUGUAAAGGGCGUGUAGGAGGGAGAGCAAGUCAGAUGUGAAAUUCCAGGGCUCAACCCAGGAACUGCAUUUGAAACUGUUUUUCUUGAGUGAUGGAGAGGCAGGCGGAAUUCCGGGUGUAGCGGUGAAAUGCGGAGAUAUACGGAGGAACACCAGUGGCGAAGGCGGCCUGCUGGACAUUAACUGACGCUGAGGCGCGAAAGCGUGGGGAGCAAACAGGAUUAGAUACCCUAGUAGUC